GCCCCGCCCCAAAGCUGCUGAGACCUGCGGGGAACCCAGGCCGGAUUUUCCGAUGCGAGGACCCAGGCUCCGCCUCGGAGAUUCUGUCCCUACCAGAAACCCUCUGCAAAUUACCAUCGCACACGCAUAAGGCUGCCGGUCCCUUGCUGCAUUUCGCUCCGGCAUCCCCGGCUGCCACUCUGGGCCUCCGCGGCUGCUGAACCACCUUCCCUCCUCCCGAACUCUCCUCUGAGGCCUCCCAAUCCCGCCAGCCCAGCCAGAAGCCGGAAAAGAUACAGAACCUCACGAAGGAUCCAGAACAAUAAAGGCAACAAGAUGUCUGAGAAGCCCAUACGGAUGGAACUGUCUGGCAAAGUCAGGUCCUUUAUCUGCAGAAGAGCACCUGGUGUCUUCUGCUGGACGCUACCUUCAUCCAUUGCACACAAUUUCAACAGAUCUGGUGCGGCAGAGACUGCUAUGAGACCCCUGUAUCCUUUCUUUCCCUUUUCCUUUCAGCAGUGGAGCUCUACAGGCUAGAUCCUGCAUCUGUGGCUACCCUGCUAGAAGCUUACAUACCCCAGCCCUCUUCCAGCUGGCUGCAGCUGUGGCCAAAGUCCUAGCCAGUGGGAUGGAACUGGAAGCAACUGUUAAAACAGAGCUCCCACCCUCUGCUUCCUGGUUUCUCUUUGUGAAGAUUAGAGGGUGGACGGGAGGAGAGGGGAGGGCACUUUUAUGAUCCUGACUGGAACAGCUCCCUAGCCUGGGCCAAGCAACAAGACUGAGGAGGGCUCCACCGUUGGUAGUAAAGCUACCAAGUUCCUGGACCAACCCAGUGGGGAGAUGCAGGGCUGCAGCCUCAUAGCCCAGAGUGUCACUGAUCCCUGGAUAACCCUGGGAACUUGGCCCCUGAUCUCUAGAAACACUCACCUGGGCUCACAAAGAUGUGUAAUACACCAGUGUAGCCAUCACAGAAUUGCUUCUACUUGCCCAAACCAAACACAAUUUCCACAUCUAGAUGCCUACGGGUAGCCUCACAUACUGCCGAGAUGAGAUAUUUGUGACUCUCAGGAUGAAGGGAAAAGGUGGGCAGGGUGGCCAGGAGAGCUGGCUAGGUGCACUUGUGCCUAUCUCUCAUCAGUCCCACUCUGAUGAUUGUAGGCUCAUGGCAGGGAGCCCACACUAGUGUCCCCAACACCAAACAGAACAGAACAGAGCAGAACAGAAAUCCAAACCCAAAAUCACGACCCCAAAGCCCAAAGCCAGUUGAAACUGCUAGACAGGCAUAAGCAGGGACAGUGAGCCUAGUAGUUGGAAUCAGACUCUGCAGAUUUUGCUACAGGAUCCAGGAUACAAACUUAUGCCUCUGACUGGGACAGGAUUUUCAAGGCUAAACCACAUACUCUAAUAUCCCCUAUCCCCAAGAACCAACUGAAGACUUGCUUAAAAGUAGGCUCAUCUGGAGGGCCUGGGCUGCUACACGCACUAUCCUAGCCUUCCGGGAAGAAGGGAAUUUGAUUUCCUGUGAAGACGGUGGAGGGGCAAUGUAUUGGGAUGGAAGGCCAUUCUGUCAGUGCCCUCUGCUGACUAGGCACGGGGCUGUGGGUUCCUAGAGAAGGCAUCAGACGGAGAUCUAGUUACCCAGUGGGAGCUGACGUCCCCCAGGUCGGCAGGGCAGAGAGGGGGCCCUGUACUCACUGUCCCAUGACAGAGGCCUCCAGCCUCCCUUCUGCUCUCUCUGGCCUCUGCCUCAGGCUGGGCCCCACUCACCACAGCCCCUCCAGGUAGGCGCGUAGCCGCGGCCGCAGACACUUUGGCUGAUCCUUCUCUCCCGGAAGAAGAGAACUGGAAAACCAGUGGCAGGUUGCUGCCAUCCACCACCAACAGCCUCUUCCAAUUAUCAGUAUUGGAAACGUCUGGUGGGUGAUGUCAGGGACAGAGCCUGCUGACAUCACAAAGGAAGCCCUCUGUCCUGGAACUCUGGGGACCCUUGAGGGGAGGGCUCUCGCGAUCUGGAGUUGAGCGUCUGAGCAUUUUCAGACAGGCUUGUGGGUAGGAACCUGUGCGGCAUUAUCUCAGUUCUGUCUGACCCUGACUCAUUGAGGAAUAUCUGGGACCUUUUAUUACUAUUUUACUACAGCUGAAGAAGCCCCUUCACUCCAAGCAACGAGCGGCAGAACCCAUCAGAAUUGGCUCCUGCGGAGCUCCGGAAGCUAACCAGAUGCUUCAGCAACCAGGCGAAGGCUUGAUCAAGGAGGUAAAAACAAAAACGCCCAACAGCUGAAUCUCACUCAGAGGACCUUUUGUGGUUUUUGACCUGAUGCCAGCCGCGUUCUCCAGAUCAGCCGAGCUUUGAUGACAAAGCCUGCACUCCCAGGACCAGUAGAGAGAGCAAGCAGAGGUGACCUCAUUCCCAAAAUUAAAAUUAUUUAUUUCGACUUCUUUGAUGGCAAGAGAACUAGCAAAAAGGAUUUGCCUUUCACUUCACUGGGAACUGUCUCGGGGUGAGGUUGAUAGUGGUAGGGGUGUGUGUUUAUUAGAAACAUUUGGCAAAAACAAUGGCUUGAUCCAAAAGCAUUACAGGUAGCCUGGGAAGUGAGAUGCUUUGCGAAAUA